UACGGAGGAUGCAAGCGUUAUCCGGAUUUAUUGGGCGUAAAGCGUCCGCAGGUGGCAGUUCAAGUCUGCUGUCAAAGGUCGGGGCUUAACCCCGAACAGGCAGUGGAAACUGAACAGCUAGAGUACGGUAGGGGCAGAGGGAAUUCCCAGUGUAGCGGUGAAAUGCGUAGAGAUUGGGAAGAACACCGGUGGCGAAAGCGCUCUGCUAGGCCGAAACUGACACUCAUGGACGAAAGCUAGGGGAGCGAAUGGG
rnacentral:rRNA from 1 species